rnacentral:rRNA from 1 species
CGAGCCUACGGGGGGCAGCAGUGGGGAAUAUUGGGCAAUGGGCGCAAGCCUGACCCAGCAACGCCGCGUGAAGGAAGAAGGCUUUCGGGUUGUAAACUUCUUUUCUCAGGGACGAAGAAAGUGACGGUACCUGAGGAAUAAGCCACGGCUAACUACGUGCCAGCAGCCGCGGUAAUACGUAGGUGGCAAGCGUUAUCCGGAUUUACUGGGUGUAAAGGGCGUGUAGGCGGGAGUGCAAGUCAGAUGUGAAAAACACGGGCUCAAACUGUGGCCUGCAUUUGAAACUGUACUUCUUGA